rnacentral:rRNA from 1 species
UACGGAAGGCAGCAGUGGGGAAUAUUGCACAAUGGGCGCAAGCCUGAUGCAGCCAUGCCGCGUGUAUGAAGAAGGCCUUCGGGUUGUAAAGUACUUUCAGUCGUGAGGAAGGUGUUAAGGUUAAUAACCUUAGCAAUUGACGUUAGCGACAGGAGAAGCACCGGCUAACUCCGUGCCAGCAGCCGCGGUAAUACGGAGGGUGCGAGCGUUAAUCGGAAUUACUGGGCGUAAAGGGCACGCAGGCGGUUAAUUAAGUUGGAUGUGAAAUCCCCGGGCUUAACCUGGGAAUGGCAUUCAAGACUGGUUAGCUAGAGUCUUGUAGAGGGGGUAGAAUUCCAUGUGUAGCGGUGAAAUGCGUAGAGAUGUGGAGGAAUACCGGUGGCGAAGGCGGCCCCUGGGACAAAGACUGACGCUCAUGUGCGAAAGCGUGGGGAGCAAACAGGAUUAGAUACC